rnacentral:rRNA from 1 species
AACGAACGCUGGCGGCAGGCCUAACACAUGCAAGUCGAACGCCCCGCAAGGGGAGUGGCAGACGGGUGAGUAGCGCGUGGGAACCUUCCCAAAGGUGCGGAAUAGCUCAGGGAAACUUGGGGUAAUACCGCAUAAUGCCGAAAGGCCAAAGAUUUAUCGCCUUUGGAUGGGCCCGCGUCGGAUUAGCUAGUUGGUGAGGUAACGGCUCACCAAGGCGACGAUCCGUAGCUGGUUUGAGAGAAUGACCAGCCACACUGGGGCUGAGACACGGCCCAGACUCCUACGGGAGGCAGCAGUGGGGAAUUUUGGACAAUGGGCGCAAGCCUGAUCCAGCCAUGCCGCGUGAGUGACGAAGGCCUUAGGGUUGUAAAGCUCUUUUGCCGGGGACGAUAAUGACGGUACCCGGAGAAUAAGUCCCGGCUAACUUCGUGCCAGCAGCCGCAGUAA